UUUUUCUUUCUUUCUUUCUAAUUUACAUUUGCAUUGACGACGACGGUCAGAUGGAAGAAAUCCGAUGGAACAUGAAUUUGGAGUUGGUUGACCAAUAAAACCAGUUUUUUUUUUCUUUCUUUUUGUUUGUUAGCCCCUGUCUUCUCUUGUUAGUCUCGUUUUGUUUGGGGAGUCUCAGUUUACCACCUCUCAAUUCCCCACACCAAUUUACUUGAAUGGCCAAGAUAACAGUUUUUACGGUUAUAUUUUUUUUUUUGUUGUUUUCUUUUUUUCAUUUUUUAUUUUGAUUUUUUUUUCUUUUUAUUUUUAUUAUCCUUUUUUCGUUUAUCUUUGUUAUCAUUACCCUUUGGGGGAUUUGUUGAAAACCUAAAUCCAAAAACCACCCGCACCAAAGGCAAUGCCAAACAACGGUAACGCAUCUCUCAAUUUCCCCCUUCCACUGGAUUUUAUUUUUUGUCUUCAUCACUUUUUUUUUUGCCUAUUUUAUCCCCAUGUCUCUGUGAAAUGGAGUAAGACACUUUUUUUCGUAGGCGAAAAUGAAGUUAUGUUGGUGUUGUGUUCGGUUUUGGUGUUACUUUUCAAUUUAUACAAAGAGAAGGCGGCAAUGGCAACGGCAUGUGGUCCUCGAAAUUGGUGUAGACGUAGAGACUUGUUGUGUUUGUUAGAGAAGACAUUUGCAUGAGUUUUUGCAUGAUUCCUUCGCUUGGGGAUUUAUUUUACUUGAGAUUUUGUUUUCUUUCUUUUUUUUUGGUGUGAUUUUGGUAGAUUUGGGGUGUUUUUUGUGACGUAAAUCAAUUGUAGCAUGACAAGUUUAUGAGUUUCUUAAGGCAGGACGAAUUGUAGAUGAAAUAUGUCGGUAUUUAGACAAAAAAAAAUAGGACUUUUUUCAAGGGAUUACGGAUAACUUUGUGCAAUCAACUUAAAAAAUACUCAGCUUGGAUUAAAUUGACAGAGAUAGGUUUUUGGUUUGGGAGUUUUUAUCUUUGUUAUUUACUUAAGUGGAUCAAGUCCUAAUAAUCUGAAAUCAUCAUUAAGCUUUGAUGCGGUUAAUUGCGCUAGAAGGCAAGAACACACAAAAAUGACUACCUAAAAAAAAUUAAGCGAAUCCCUUUUUUUUAUGGGUUUUGGUUCAUCAAGUAAGAAGAAAAAAUGGCCUAAACCAAUUUACCCUAUUAGAUUGGGUCAGGGUAAAAGUGAGUCCUACGAAUUAGGUAAGUAAGUAAAGGCAACAAAAAAUAAAACAGAGUUUAAAUUUUUAUGUUUACAGGGUUGCUAUAAAAAUAAUCCAAAUGAAAAUCCUGGAAAAUGGACCGUUUCACAGUUUAAAUAAUUUUUAAAUUUAAAUUAGUUUUUACCAAAUUUAAUGUGAAGAUGGGAAACGUGUGCUAUACAACAUAAUAUAAGUUAGAGGGUAGACUGACCACUAUACUAUCGAGGAGUGCUUUUUAUAACUUAGUGAAAGGCGAUACUGACCACUAUACUAUUGAGGAAUAUUUAAAUAAAAUGGGUACACUGACUACUAUACUAUCGAGGAAUGCUAUCAUUAAAAAGGAAAAUCAGUAAAGGUCCUUAUUGAACACUAAAGUAUCAAGAAAUUAUGAUUUAAUAAAAAAUGCAACGCUUUUUAAAAUUAAGUAAAAGGCGAUACUGACCACUAUACUAUCGAGGAAUAUUAAAAAAAAAAAUAGUAACAGCGUAUACUGACUACUAUACUAUCGAGGAAUGUUUAAAAAAUGGUAACAGGAUAUACUGACCACUAAAUUAUCGAGGAAUGAUUUUUAAAAAUAAAUAAAAGGAUAUACUGACCACUAUACUAUCGAGGAAAAAUAAAAUAUUAUAACAGGGUAUACUGACCACUAUAUUAAAAGAAGCAUUGCCCGUCCUGUCUAGUUAUGCCCACUUUUCACGAGUCGAUUUUAGCCGCACGACAUGUCGGUCGACUAGGAUUUUUCUAUGGGUAUGUCGAUUUAGUCGAUUGCGACUUACGUUCACACGAGUCGAAAAGCUUCGCCGCACGGCAAAAAUCGACUCGUAAAAAGUCCCCAUUACUUGAAAAAUUAAUAGAAAACCUCGACAUUAACCAAUGUCUCCAAAUUUUGAGAAACACUCAGUUGCUUCUUACAUUAUCAAAGUUCUCAUUCCAAGAACCCAAAACUGCCAAGUAUCUGUGCAAAAUAAUCGAAAACUAAUUGAUAUAACCAAAACCCUAUAUUGAGUCCUUUAAAGUUAAGACAAAAUCAAUAUAAUUCACAAGACAAACUAUGCAUUAUCAAAAAACAAAUUAAUAUUACCAUAUCCUUUAUUCAUCCUUUAUCCUCAAAAAAAAAAAAAAAAAACUAAUGAGAUUAAAUCUUUUUUCAAUUAUAAAA